rnacentral:lncRNA from 1 species
AAUCCCGGACCUUGGUUCAGACUCCACACGAAUAAUGCAGCGCAUCUGUGUUUCACGCCGAACAAGGACCUACGGGCGCCGGCGAUCGCCGGAUCUUUAUGAAAUUAUCUCAACAUCACCCAGAGACAUAGUAUAAUCAAAGCAGGAAGCGAGGCAGGGAUAAACACGAACCGGAUAGGAUACCGAUCAUAGGUGGAACUGACACUGCGACACACACACACCACAACAACAAGCUCCAGCUGAGCAGACGCAGGCACGGUGGCCGGCGAGAGUGGCACCGCGUCGCUCGCUGGCUGCUGACUGGGCACUGGGCCUCGACACGACAACACUUUUAUUUAGCCCACGUCACCGCGCGACCCCGCGCAAAGCACCCCACACCUAGUACGUACUCGUAGUAAAAAGGUAGCACCCCACUCCACUCCACUGGCUGACUGAGCAUCGCGCCGUGCCACGUAGGAGCACACGGCCGCCGCCGCCGUGGACGCGCGCCUCACACGCUCACGGUGGCCUCCUCUGCCGCGGCCGCGGGCGCCUCCUCCGCUGCAGCCGGCGCUUCCUCGGCGACGGCCGCCACCUCCGGCUCGGCGGCAGCGGGUGCCGCCUCCUCCUCCUUCACCUCCUCGGCCGCCGCCGCCGGCUCGGCCUCUGCCACGGCCUCCUUGGUCUCCGUCUCGACCACGGCUGGCGCCUCGGCCACCGGCUCGGCCGCAGCUGCCGGCUCGGGCUCCUUGGCCUCCUCCGUCACGGCGGCGGCCGGCGCCUCCUCCUUGGCCGCCUCGACCUCGACGGGGGCAGGCGCCUCGACCUCGGCCUCCGCCGGCGCGGGGACCUCCUCCGUCUUCGCGGCCUCCUCGGCGGCCACGGGCGUCUCCACCGCCGGCGCCUCCUCCGUCAGCGCGGCCGUCGGGUUCUGGACCUGCACGUUUGCACACUCAAUGCCAUCAGCCCCACGCACAUGCCAGCACGUACACAAACCGAUCAAGCUCGAGCUCGACCACGAUCAUGGGCGUUCGUCAGAUCGCGUAGAUCCAUCGGAACGACCAUCGAUCCGAGAACAUGAAAGAGAACAGACGAUCGAUCGAUCCGAUCGAGGCAAGCUAGCUAUACGUACAUCAGCGGUGGCCAUUGCCGUGGUGGAAGCAAGAAAAUGCCCGGAGCUAGCUGAAGCUAGUGCUACUGUGACCCUGUUGUGUGCCUGUGGCUGAUCCGAUGAGAGAGUGUGAGGCGUGUGUGUCUGUGUGGAGCAAUGGAGGCUAUAUAUAGCGGCCUCCGGAGGCCAAAACGGGGAGAACACAAACGCAAAUCGAAGGCCAAAAAAAUUUAAAAACGAAGCCGAUCGACGGGUCGAGGAAAUAAACAAGCCGAGUCCGUCUCAUGAUGAUCGGGAAUCUGGGGAGCUGUAUGUGCAAAUAAGCACGUCCUGACGACGUGCGGUUGUACGUGCGCGUCAUGCCAUCGAAGUAAAAGGUGGCCCGUGAGUCAUGACACUGUGUAAAGGGUCCAAAGAACAUACCAGGGUGCCCGUGCACGGCCCGCGUCUAGUUCAUCUCGCUCCACAUGUUGCUCGAUCAGGAUCGGUCGUGCCACACACACACAAAUAUAUGUUCGAGAGAAAAGUUGCGAGAUUCUUGAACUUAUUUUCCAUUUUCCAUAAGUUUCCGUGUACGAUCGGCCCUGCUGUCACGUUGAUGUGUGUGCCGUGUGCUGGCCAAACCUGAUCCGGCCCUGGUGGCAGUGGCAACAUGCAAGUGGGACCUUUUGAGGUGUACACAACAACACAUCUCGUCCUCCUUGCACGUUCUGCGCCGUCCUUUCCAUCGGACCGUCGAUCCCUUACCGAUUAAUUAAAUAUAAAUGAAGCCCUCGCCGAUUUAGCCGUAGCAGUAAUCGAUUCCAUCAUCUGUGAUUUGGAUCGAAACGUAUUUGAUUAGCCUUUGUUUUGUACGUACGAGAUUACGAUAGCUGAGCAGGGGCGGCUGUCGUCCGGGUUGGCGUGGAGACAAUGGAGUUGGAACCGAUGAAUGUGCGCGCCUGAAUAGUCGCGAUUUGGUUUUGGGAUUUAGGUUAGCUCUCCGUCUCAGGGUAGUACGUGGCCACCCGGCCUAUGCUACCGUAUAGACUUUCUUUUCCAGCAGUACGUAUGUUCUUUUUCUUUUUCCUUUUUCUUUUCGAGAUGUGACGUGAUGUGGAUCGGUGAAACCUAAUUAAGGUCCUGGUUACGCAUAUGUUUGCUGAUGGAGAGGGGGAGGGCGGCAUUCACUCAUUUUGCAAAACGAUUAUAUAUAUAUAUAUAUAUUGUCAUACACAGUAUGUAUGAUGUGCUAGGUAAUCCAGGGGUAAAAGUUUCUUUUAUUAUAGAAAAAAAAAUAAGGUGGUGGUGUCGAAUGGACCAAGGUUUUUUGUGAGAGCAAUUCCAGAUCCCCAAGCAAUCACCGCUGGAAUCGUGUCCCUGUUCUAGCGCUACAGUGGUAGCCUGCAUGUGUCAUGCUUCAGAGUCGAUCAGCAACAACAAUUAUGACAGCAACUGGAUGGAUGUCCCCCAUCACCUUUGGCUCUGGGGCUCGUCUACUUGCUCCGGCCUCCACCACCUUUGCCCGAAAGCUAGCGUAGAUAUAUGCAAGACGAUUACUACCGCGCCGCAGGGGUAGUUGUCCAUGGAUCAACCUCACGCUCCAAAACAAGAAACUUAUCAGAAAAGCAACGGGGAUAUCAUCAGCGGGACAGCGAGAUUACACUAACACGAAGUAGCACGCCACUAAUUAAUCGUCGCCACCUGAUCUCUUCCCUCGCCGGUCACCGCCGCCGAAAGGUCGAGAGACGGACAUGCGCAGCAAGGUAGCUGAGCUCUUACAAAAUGAGUGAAACCCCUUGGUUGCCCAUGUAAUCUUCUUUCCUCCUCUAAACUAAUUGCUUGCAGAUGAUUUUUGGCCCCGGUGGAGUGGAGGCGAUGGGGUUGGGCAGCUUUCUUUUCGAGAAAAUUCUCGCCGCCGUCGUUGUCGUCGCUUUAAACCGGCCAUUCAGAUCAUCAGAUGGCAUGGAAAGCGACGAGCAAGCAGAGUCCGCACCGGGCGUCCAACAUGCGCCGGCCACGGCCAGUGCCCGGUAGGACGGUCCGCUGGGCUGAUUGGUGCCACAUCACGCAGAAGAGAUAUACUAGAGUAGAGCAGUCGACAUGGCCGGCUGUCAGCCCCGGCCCCGCCUGCGUGUCCCUCCACCGCCGUGAUCUCCCGUGGCACCGGCCGGCCAGCUGCGCUGCUCGCUUUCGGCGGCCGUGCCAUGCCAUGCCAUGCCAUGCCAUGUGUGGUCGCCAUCGCGCACGCCGGUUCGAUCCAGACUUUCGUGUUGGCCAGCCAGCGGUGGGGUGUGGCUGCGGCUACAUAACGCCGAGCUUUCACAAAGGUGACGGGUGAGGCGCCGCAUAGGGAGCCACGGAGUUGGUGGGCGCAGGGAGCGGGGGGUGGGAUGAUUGGAGCCCAUGACCCGGAAGCGAUGGUGAGGUGGCGCCACGGCUAGGGGCGGUGGAGGAGGGGCCCGCGUCACAGUGCCCGUGAUGGAAACGGCGGUGUGCGGACGCGGCGUUCCACUUCCACCUGUGAAUGACGUGUGAUGUGCCUCCAUGUCGGACCGCGGCCACAUGCGAUUUUUAAUGGAGUAUACUUGUACGAGUACGAGCUGAUCCACCUCAGCGUUUUGUUGGUUCGUCCAAACGACGAGCCGGGAUUUGCGCAGAGCAGGUUGCUUGAUUGGAAGAUGCAGUAUAUUUCCUUUUGAAUAUGACCUCCCUC